AGUUUGAUCCUGGCUCAGAUUGAACGCUGGCGGCAGGCCUAACACAUGCAAGUCGAGCGGAUGAGAGGAGCUUGCUCCUCGAUUCAGCGGCGGACGGGUGAGUAAUGCCUAGGAAUCUGCCUAGUAGUGGGGGACAACGUUUCGAAAGGAACGCUAAUACCGCAUACGUCCUACGGGAGAAAGUGGGGGAUCUUAGGACCUCACGCUAUUAGAUGAGCCUAGGUCGGAUUAGCUAGUUGGUAGGGUAAAGGCCUACCAAGGCGACGAUCCGUAACUGGUCUGAGAGGAUGAUCAGUCACACUGGAACUGAGACACGGUCCAGACUCCUACGGGAGGCAGCAGUGGGGAAUAUUGGACAAUGGGCGAAAGCCUGAUCCAGCCAUGCCGCGUGUGUGAAGAAGGUCUUCGGAUUGUAAAGCACUUUAAGUUGGGAGGAAGGGCAGUAACCUAAUACGUUAUUGUUUUGACGUUACCGACAGAAUAAGCACCGGCUAACUCUGUGCCAGCAGCCGCGGUAA
rnacentral:rRNA from 1 species